ACCACAGCCCCAAAAUUUCCCUAAGCCUCUCGCCAGUCCUCAUGCCCUCUCUUCUCUGCCUCAAAGCCGCACGCCAGUCGCCGCCGUCCAAGAAUCCUCCCCGCUGUCGCAAUCUCCACCUCGCCGCCGUCCAAGCAUCCUCGCCGCUGUCGCAAUCUCCACCUCGCCGCCGUCCAAGCCUAAUCUCUUCUCUGUUUCAGCAAGCACGCAAUCAGUUUCGCUCCUUUGCCAAUCGGCGCCCAUGGCCCAACGCCUCCAAUCAGUUUCGCUCCUCUGCCACAACCACUGACGACUAUCGCCCAUUGUCUCCGACAGAAACGUCGCCGCCAGGGUCUGUCAUUGAAUGAUUUCCGCUGCUUCAUUCGUCUUUCCAAGCUGAGGCCCUAUCAAGGCUUAAUGUAGUCAUAGGACAUCAAAAUGCUCUUCAACCUGAGAACAUAAUGGCAUAUGAUAAUGCUGUCUCUGCACCAGGAACUUGAAGAAGAAACACAAAUGCCCCCUGUUACAAAUCCAUUCUUCCCUUUGAGAAUUAUCUGGAUUUUCAUUCCAGAGUAUUUGGUUUGGAACUUUAAAUAUGUAAUUUCAUUCUUUUCUAACUUUCAAUUAUUUUUAAUUUGAAUUGUAAAUCUGUACUUUCA